rnacentral:RNase_MRP_RNA from 2 species
CGAGUCUUCUAUGCUUGUCUUUCGGGGUUACUUACGAGUUCCUAGUAACUCUUGCUGUUAUACCCUGGGAAAAGUCCCCGGGUCUAGGAUAGAAAGUAUCAAGGCGUAAAAAGUAAUUAUAUUUAAAUGCUCCGAAGGCUCUCGCGUUCGCGCGUUAGUUUUCUUCUGUGCAUUUAAAAUAAUAUUCGCCUAUAUUCCAUGGAAAUUCUCUUAGCAUGAAAAUCAAUGAAGAGUCAAGUUUUGACGAAUUGAAAUGGCUAAGUGUCCAUGGAAACGUGCCAGAUAAAAAUUCUUAGCAAUAGACAACCGAAAUGCGUGCCGGUUUUCUCUCAGAAAUCGGAAUGUGUUUACAUAAUGGGGCUUACAUUGGGAGAUUC